GGGCGUUAAGUUGCAGGGUAUAGACCCGAAACCCGGUGAUCUAGCCAUGGGCAGGUUGAAGGUUGGGUAACACUAACUGGAGGACCGAACCGACUAAUGUUGAAAAAUUAGCGGAUGACCUGUGGCUGGGGGUGAAAGGCCAAUCAAACCGGGAGAUAGCUGGUUCUCCCCGAAAGCUAUUUAGGUAGCGCCUCGUGAAUUCAUCUCCGGGGGUAGAGCACUGUUUCGGCUAGGGGGCCAUCCCGGCUUACCAACCCGAUGCAAACUGCGAAUACCGGAGAAUGUUAUCACGGGAGACACACGGCGGGUGCUAACGUCCGUCGUGAAGAGGGAAACAACCCAGACCGCCAGCUAAGGUCCCAAAGUCAUGGUUAAGUGGGAAACGAUGUGGGAAGGCCCAGACAGCCAGGAUGUUGGCUUAGAAGCAGCCAUCAUUUAAAGAAAGCGUAAUAGCUCACUGGUCGAGUCGGCCUGCGCGGAAGAUGUAACGGGGCUAAACCAUGCACCGAAGCUGCGGCAGCGACGCUGAUGCGUUGUUGGGUAGGGGAGCGUUCUGUAAGCCUGUGAAGGUGGCCUGUGAGGGUUGCUGGAGGUAUCAGAAGUGCGAAUGCUGACAUAAGUAACGAUAAAGCGGGUGAAAAGCCCGCUCGCCGGAAGACCAAGGGUUCCUGUCCAACGUUAAUCGGGGCAGGGUGAGUCGACCCCUAAGGCGAGGCCGAAAGGCGUAGUCGAUGGGAAACGGGUUAAUAUUCCCGUACUUGGUGUUACUGCGAAGGGGGGACGGAGAAGGCUAUGUUGGCCGGGCGACGGUUGUCCCGGUUUAAGCGUGUAGGUGUGUGUUCCAGGUAAAUCCGGUUCACUUUAACACUGAGGCGUGACGACGAGGCACUACGGUGCUGAAGCAACAAAUGCCCUGCUUCCAGGAAAAGCCUCUAAGCAUCAGGUAACAUCAAAUCGUACCCCAAACCGACACAGGUGGUCAGGUAGAGAAUACCAAGGCGCUUGAGAGAACUCGGGUGAAGGAACUAGGCAAAAUGGUGCCGUAACUUCGGGAGAAGGCACGCUGACACGUAGGUGAAGUGAUUUACUCAUGGAGCUGAAGUCAGUCGAAGAUACCAGCUGGCUGCAACUGUUUAUUAAAAACACAGCACUGUGCAAACACGAAAGUGGACGUAUACGGUGUGACGCCUGCCCGGUGCCGGAAGGUUAAUUGAUGGGGUCAGCGCAAGCGAAGCUCCUGAUCGAAGCCCCGGUAAACGGCGGCCGUAACUAUAACGGUCCUAAGGUAGCGAAAUUCCUUGUCGGGUAAGUUCCGACCUGCACGAAUGGCGUAAUGAUGGCCAGGCUGUCUCCACCCGAGACUCAGUGAAAUUGAACUCGCUGUGAAGAUGCAGUGUACCCGCGGCAAGACGGAAAGACCCCGUGAACCUUUACUAUAGCUUGACACUGAACAUUGAGCCUUGAUGUGUAGGAUAGGUGGGAGGCUUUGAAGUGUGGACGCCAGUCUGCAUGGAGCCGACCUUGAAAUACCACCCUUUAAUGUUUGAUGUUCUAACGUGGACCCGUGAUCCGGGUUGCGGACAGUGUCUGGUGGGUAGUUUGACUGGGGCGGUCUCCUCCUAAAGAGUAACGGAGGAGCACGAAGGUUGGCUAAUCCUGGUCGGACAUCAGGAGGUUAGUGCAAUGGCAUAAGC
rnacentral:rRNA from 1 species